ACUGUUUUUGUUUUCUUUUUUUAGGAUUGCUAUUUUCAGCUACGAAAUUUGAUACAAGUCAAGGAAAAGGCAGCAAUAAAUCAUAAAGUUUUCACGAAAAUAAAAAGACUUGAUACUUUUUACGAAGGUUUAUGCAAAGGCGAUGACGUUAUUCCCCAAUACUUAGACAAGAAAAUAAAUUGCUGUUUUAAUUA